rnacentral:miRNA from 1 species
UAUGGGUCUUGACAGAACAGAC